ACAGCAAUGGUGAUCCUUAGAGGGCUCUAAGCCUAAGUUUCUUAAAAUUAAAAACCCAAAUUUAAAUCAAAACUGAUCUAAAACGCAAGAAACGUUCCUUGUUUUAGAGUUUUUUGGGCUGAUAAGAGGCGCUGACGUGGCACCGAGAUUGGUUCGUAAAUGUGAGAAAGCAAAAAAAAAAAUUCCUUUCCCGAUUCAUUUUAUUCUCGACUCUCUCUCUUCUCCUUGUUUUCUAAUUUCUCCGAUGGCGAAAUUGAGAGCAAAUCGUGUUGUUCUUCAUAAUCCGGCGUCUAGGUCAUCAAAUUGGAAGAGAAAGGUGAAACAAAGUCGUAACCAAUCAUCCGUGAUGAUCAGCUCCACUGUCGGUGGUCACCAACAUAAGUUCGGUGGACCAAAUCAGUGCGUUCGGCAAAUAGUUAGGCGAUUCCAUGCUCCAAUCGCUUAAUCACGGUUUUCAGAGAAAAUUUGCUAUCCAAGGAUUUUGUUAAUAUCCACACACUGAAACUCUUGGCCGGUAGUAGUGAAGGAGGCUCUGUUGUAUUUAGGUUGGAAUACCAAGGACAGCCUGCUUGUCUAGCUCAGUCUCCUCAGCUUCACAAGCAAAUGACAAUAUAUAAUGGACCUUGUGGACGAGUUAUUUGUGUUUAUAUUCACUAGUUUGAAUAACAAAUGCAAAAAGGAACUUGAAGCUAUUGGAAAACAAUACCCAUUUAAACCUUUGAAGUUUCUUGAAAAGACAUUGAGGUUAACGUUUGAAGAAGGG